UAGGGAAUCUUCGGCAAUGGGGGGAACCCUGACCGAGCAACGCCGCGUGAGUGAAGAAGGUUUUCGGAUCGUAAAGCUCUGUUGUUAAGGAAGAACGAGUGUGAGAAUGGAAAGUUCAUGCUGUGACGGUACUUAACCAGAAAGGGACGGCUAACUACGUGCCAGCAGCCGCGGUAAUACGUAGGUCCCGAGCGUUGUCCGGAUUUAUUGGGCGUAAAGCGAGCGCAGGCGGUUAGAAAAGUCUGAAGUUAAAGGCAGUGGCUCAACCAUUGUAGGCUUUGGAAACUGUUUAACUUGAGUGCAGAAGGGGAGAGUGGAAUUCCAUGUGUAGCGGUGAAAUGCGUAGAUAUAUGGAGGAACACCGGUGGCGAAAGCGGCUCUCUGGUCUGUAACUGACGCUGAGGCUCGAAAGCGUGGGGAGCGAACAGG
rnacentral:rRNA from 1 species